UACGUAGGGUGCAAGCGUUAAUCGGAAUUACUGGGCGUAAAGCGUGCGCAGGCGGUUUUGUAAGUUUGUCGUGAAAUCCCCCGGGCUCAACCUGGGAAUGGCGAUGAAGACUGCAAGGCUAGAAUCUGGCAGAGGGGGGUAGAAUUCCACGUGUAGCAGUGAAAUGCGUAGAGAUGUGGAGGAACACCGAUGGCGAAGGC
rnacentral:rRNA from 1 species